rnacentral:rRNA from 1 species
CAUAUCAAUAAGCGGAGGAAAAGAAACCAACAGGGAUUGCCCUAGUAACGGCGAGUGAAGCGGCAACAGCUCAAAUUUGAAAGCUAGCCUUCGGGUUCGCAUUGUAAUUUGUAGAGGAUGAUUUGGGGAAGCCGCCUGUCUAAGUUCCUUGGAACAGGACGUCAUAGAGGGUGAGAAUCCCGUAUGUGACAGGAAAUGGCACCCUAUGUAAAUCUCCUUCGACGAGUCGAGUUGUUUGGGAAUGCAGCUCUAAAUGGGAGGUAAAUUUCUUCUAAAGCUAAAUAUUGGCGAGAGACCGAUAGCGCACAAGUAGAGUGAUCGAAAGAUGAAAAGCACUUUGGAAAGAGAGUUAAAAAGCACGUGAAAUUGUUGAAAGGGAAGCGCUUGCAAUCAGACUUGUUUAAACUGUUCGGCCGGUCUUCUGACCGGUUUACUCAGUUUGGACAGGCCAGCAUCAGUUUCGGCGGCCGGAUAAAGGCUCUGGGAAUGUGGCCUCCACUUCGGUGGAGGUGUUAUAGCCCAGGGUGUAAUACGGCCAGCCGGGACUGAGGUCCGCGCUUCGGCUAGGAUGCUGGCGUAAUGGUUGUAAGCGACCCGUCUUGAAACACGGACCAAGGAGUCUAACAUCUAUGCGAGUGUUCGGGUGUCAAACCCCUGCGCGUAAUGAAAGUGAACGGAGGUGGGAACCCGCAAGGGUGCACCAUCGACCGAUCCUGAUGUCUUCGGAUGGAUUUGAGUAAGAGCAUAGCUGUUGGGACCCGAAAGAUGGUGAACUAUGCCUGAAUAGGGUGAAGCCAGAGGAAACUCUGGUGGAGGCUCGCAGCGGUUCUGACGUGCAAAUCGAUCGUCAAAUUUGGGUAUAGGGGCGAAAGACUAAUCGAACCAUCUAGUAGCUGGUUCCUGC